GAAGAUGCCUGCCUAUUAUAAAUUCACUAGUUGAUCACUUAGCAAGGAGCAUGUUCACAGAGGUGGAAGGCACGUUUCUCCCACGUGCCUUUUUGGCAGGAGCAAGGACCAAAGAUUUCGCUUUUGUGGAGGUUUCUUAUAGCAGCGAAAACUGUAGCUGAAAGUGGCGCUUUGAGAUGCUCACUCAAGAUAAUCCUGAAGUUUGGGACGCUCUGGCCACUACACUCAACAAAUCCCAAAAUGAUCACUCAAGUUAGCCGAUCCUGAGAAAUGACAUCUGAUAAACAAACUGUAUGCGGAGAGCAGAAAGAGCUUAGCAAAAGGAAAAGACUCGGUGACCUAAGGCCUCGGGAACACUGUCGAGCUGUAGAUCGUUGAACAGCGGCACACAGGACAGGAGAGGUGAAGACACUGGGUGACCCAGGUGCCAUGCCUGGUGUCAUCAGCCUGGCCAGCCAUUUACCAAUCAAUUCUUAUGGCCAUGAGCGCAUGACAGCUGAAGGCUUCUAUCUAUGGAAAUGCUGAAGAAAGUGGGGGGCCGGCGGCGAGGCUUACACAAAACAGAACUCGACAACUAAAGUUCUAUAUUAUACCAAGCUUUACUUUAGCAAAUAACUAUACGAUGUAAAUUGGAAUUCAUCAUUCAUGACAGAAUUGCCUUUGGCCAGAAUAAAGUUCAUUUUUCUACCAUG